UACGAAGGGAGCUAGCGUUGUUCGGAAUCACUGGGCGUAAAGCGCACGUAGGCGGCUGUGUCAGUCAGCGGUGAAAUCCCGGAGCUCAACUUCGGAACUGCCUUUGAUACAGCACGUCUUGAGUCCGAUAGAGGUGGGUGGAAUUCCUAGUGUAGAGGUGAAAUUCGUAGAUAUUAGGAAGAACACCGGUGGCGAAGGCGGCCCACUGGAUCGGUACUGACGCUGAGGUGCGAAAGCGUGGGGAGCAAACAGG
rnacentral:rRNA from 1 species